rnacentral:rRNA from 1 species
UACGUAGGGUGCGAGCGUUAAUCGGAAUUACUGGGCGUAAAGCGUGCGCAGGCGGUUGUGUAAGACAGAUGUGAAAUCCCCGGGCUCAACCUGGGAACUGCAUUUGUGACUGCACGGCUCGAGUGCGGCAGAGGGGGAUGGAAUUCCGCGUGUAGCAGUGAAAUGCGUAGAUAUGCGGAGGAACACCGAUGGCGAAGGCAAUCCCCUGGGCCUGCACUGACGCUCAUGCACGAAAGCGUGGGGGAGCAAACAGG